GCGUCGGUAGUCUAGCGGUAGGACCCAGGCCUUCCAAGCCUGUGACCCGGGUUCGAUUCCCGGUCGACGCA
rnacentral:tRNA from 1 species